rnacentral:rRNA from 1 species
GACGAACGCUGGCGGCGUGCUUAACACAUGCAAGUCGAACGGAAAGGCCCUGCUUUUGUGGGGUGCUCGAGUGGCGAACGGGUGAGUAACACGUGAGUAACCUGCCCUUGACUUUGGGAUAACUUCAGGAAACUGGGGCUAAUACCGGAUAGGAGCUCCUGCUGCAUGGUGGGGGUUGGAAAGUUUCGGCGGUUGGGGAUGGACUCGCGGCUUAUCAGCUUGUUGGUGGGGUAGUGGCUUACCAAGGCUUUGACGGGUAGCCGGCCUGAGAGGGUGGCCGGCCACAUUGGGACUGAGAUACGGCCCAGACUCCUACGGGAGGCAGCAGUGGGGAAUAUUGCACAAUGGGCGGAAGCCUGAUGCAGCAACGCCGCGUGCGGGAUGACGGCCUUCGGGUUGUAAACCGCUUUCGCCUGUGACGAAGCGUGAGUGACGGUAAUGGGUAAAGAAGCACCGGCUAACUACGUGCCAGCAGCCGCGGUGAUACGUAGGGUGCGAGCGUUGUCCGGAUUUAUUGGGCGUAAAGGGCUCGUAGGUGGUUGAUCGCGUCGGAAGUGUAAUCUUGGGGCUUAACCCUGAGCGUGCUUUCGAUACGGGUUGACUUGAGGAAGGUAGGGGAGAAUGGAAUUCCUGGUGGAGCGGUGGAAUGCGCAGAUAUCAGGAGGAACACCAGUGGCGAAGGCGGUUCUCUGGGCCUUUCCUGACGCUGAGGAGCGAAAGCGUGGGGAGCGAACAGGCUUAGAUACCCUGGUAGUCCACGCUGUAAACGGUGGGUACUAGGUGUGGGGUCCAUUCCACGGGUUCCGUGCCGUAGCUAACGCUUUAAGUACCCCGCCUGGGGAGUACGGCCGCAAGGCUAAAACUCAAAGGAAUUGACGGGGCCCCGCACAAGCGGCGGAGCAUGCGGAUUAAUUCGAUGCAACGCGUAGAACCUUACCUGGGUUUGACAUGGAUCGGGAGCGCUCAGAGAUGGGUGAGCUUCUUUUGGGGUCGGUUCACAGGUGGUGCAUGGCUGUCGUCAGCUCGUGUCGUGAGAUGUUGGGUUAAGUCCCGCAACGAGCGCAACCCUUGUUCACUGUUGCCAGCACGUUAUGGUGGGGACUCAGUGGAGACCGCCGGGGUCAACUCGGAGGAAGGUGGGGAUGACGUCAAGUCAUCAUGCCCCUUAUGUCCAGGGCUUCACGCAUGCUACAAUGGCUGGUACAGAGAGUGGCGAGCCUGUGAGGGUGAGCGAAUCUCGGAAAGCCGGUCUCAGUUCGGAUUGGGGUCUGCAACUCGACCUCAUGAAGUCGGAGUCGCUAGUAAUCGCAGAUCAGCAACGCUGCGGUGAAUACGUUCCCGGGGCU